rnacentral:rRNA from 1 species
CCUACGGGAGGCAGCAGUAGGGAAUCUUCCACAAUGGGCGAAAGCCUGAUGGAGCAACGCCGCGUGGGUGAAGAAGGUCUUCGGAUCGUAAAACCCUGUUGUUAGAGAAGAAAGUGCGUGAGAGUAACUGUUCACGUUUCGACGGUAUCUAACCAGAAAGCCACGGCUAACUACGUGCCAGCAGCCGCGGUAAUACGGAGGUGGCAAGCGUUAUCCGGAGUUAUUGGGCGUAAAGGGAACGCAGGCGGGCUUUUAAGUCUGAUGUGAAAGCCUUCGGCUUAACCGGAGUAGUGCAUUGGAAACUGGGAGGCUUGAGUGCGGAGGAGGAGAGUGGAACUCCAUGUGUAGCGGUGAAAUGCGUAGAUAUAUGGAAGAACACCGGUGGCGAAAGCGGCUCUCUGGUCUGUAACUGACGCUGAGGUUCGAAAGCGUGGGUAGCAAACAGGAUUAGAUACCCUGGUAGUC